rnacentral:rRNA from 1 species
AACCGCGGUUAUACGAGAGACCCAAGUUGACAGAUAUCGGCAUAAAGCGUGGUUAAGGAAACAUAAAAAUAAAGCCGAACGCCCCCAGAGCUGUCAUACGCUCCCGAGAGUAGGAAGACCAUCUACGAAAGUGACUUUACAUUACCUGAACCCACGAAAGCCAUGAAAA